GCCGCUAUCGUCUAGUGGUUAGGACACCGGCCUCUCACGCCGGCAGCAGGGGUUCGACUCCCCUUAGCGGUA
rnacentral:tRNA from 1 species